AAUGAAAGGAAAGUAGUCUAAUCCAUAAAUCUAUUAUAAAUGGAUUGUAACUUGUAGUUUUGUUAGUUGGAUGAUCCUUGAUUUCAACAAUCUCAAUCAAAUAUGAGAUCCGAGGGGGUUAUUUGCCCGUAUGUUGAUGUAUCAGGUGUCAGUCACAAUUAUGUCCUAGAGUAGCGCUCUUUGGUAAUAGAGCUCGAAGCUUGUGGUGGUAUUCAUAAAAGACUUAUCAUUGGUGAGAGACCUUUAGUGUACAAGUACCGUGAGGGAAAGAUGAAAAGAACUUUGGAGAGGGAGUUAAACAGUAUGUGAAAAUGUUAGUAGCAAGCGGAUCAAAUUAAAGAGCAUUUCUUUGAGAUAGUUACAUCCACAUUAUACUCUAAUUUAAGAUAUAAUUUACAAUUCGUGCUACUCAGGGUGAGGUAGAUAUGCUUUAAUUUAUUCUGAUCCGACCCGUCUGGAAACACGGACCAAGGAGUCUAGUAUUGGUGCAAGUAUUUGAAUAUUUAAAAUUCCCUUACAAAGGUAACUCAGAUCGUGUUCAUCGUGUCAUUAUGAUAGCAUCGCGGGCAGUGUUUUUACCUAGCAAGAGCAUGUAU
rnacentral:rRNA from 1 species